CAUUGGGUGAGGAAUGAGGCCUACAUUCAGAUUCAGACCAGGGGCAAGAGUGUGAAGACUGCCUCUCAGCUGAUUUGAAUACACAACUCACUGGAUACUAAGGAGGCGCUACCACUCCCAGAAAGGAAGAAGCAGGACUUUCCAGCCCCCACGCCUCUUGAAGGAUUUAAACCGUGGCCACCGGAGCCUCGGGCAGAGUUUCCUUGCCUGCCUCGCUUGCAUCUCUUACAAGCCUGAACCUUAGUGAGUGCAGACACAGGAUGUGUCUGGACAGUGACAGAUGGGAAGAAUCUUCUUCAGUGACCAGAAUCCGAUGGCUGGGGAGGCUGCAGUGAACUGCCUUAUUUCCUCGGACUCUCUGAUUAGCAGGUGGAAGGAGGCUCCUCAAAAUAUUUGAUGGUUGCUUGAAUACAAACAUUUUACGUGCCAA